rnacentral:rRNA from 1 species
GAUGAACGCUGGCGGCGUGCCUAAUACAUGCAAGUCGCGCGAAGCGGGCACGGGUGAGUAACAUGUGGUUAACCUCCUAUAAGACUCGGACACCUUCGCGAAACCGGAGCCAACCCGGAUACUUAUAGAUGGAUCCGCGCUGCAUUAGCUAGUUGGUAAGGUAACGGCUUACCAAGGCAACGAUGCAUAGCCGACCUGAGAGGGUGAGCGGCCUCACUGGAACUGAGACACGGUCCAGGCUCCUACGGGAGGCAUAAGUAGGGAAUCUUCCGCGAUGGGCGAGAGCCUGACAAAGCAGCGACGCGUGGGUGAUGAAGGUCUUCGGAUCGUAAAACUCUGUUAUUAGGGAGGCGGUACCUACUCAGAAAGCCACGGCUAACUUCGUGCCAGCAGCCGCGGUAAUAC